rnacentral:rRNA from 1 species
UACGGGGGGGGCAAGCGUUGUUCGGAAUUACUGGGCGUAAAGGGUCUGUAGGUGGCCAACUAAGUCAGACGUGAAAUCCCUCAGCUUAACUGGGGAACUGCGUCUGAUACUGGAAGGCUUGAAUCCGGGAGAGGGAUGCGGAAUUCCAGGUGUAGCGGUGAAAUGCGUAGAUAUCUGGAGGAACACCGGUGGCGAAGGCGGCAUCCUGGACCGGCAUUGACGCUGAGGCGCGAAAGCCAGGGGAGCAAACGGG